GCCCCCUUAGCUCAACUGGUAGAGCAACUGACUCUUAAUCAGUGGGUUGCAGGUUCGAGUCCUGCAGGGGGCA
rnacentral:tRNA from 1 species